rnacentral:rRNA from 1 species
UACGUAGGGACCGAGCGUUGUCCGGAUUCAUUGGGCGUAAAGAGCUCGUAGGCGGCUGUUCAAGUCGAACGUGAAAACUCGGAGCUCAACUCCGAGCCUGCGUUCGAUACUGGACGGCUAGAGUCUGGUAGGGGGAUCUGGAAUUCCUGGUGUAGCGGUGAAAUGCGCAGAUAUCAGGAAGAACACCAAUGGCGAAAGCAGCUCUCUGGGACGGUACUGACGCUGAGACGCGAAAGCGUGGGGAGCGAACAGG